rnacentral:rRNA from 1 species
UAGGGAAUCUUCGGCAAUGGGGGGAACCCUGACCGAGCAACGCCGCGUGAGUGAAGAAGGUUUUCGGAUCGUAAAGCUCUGUUGUUAAGGAAGAACGAGUGUGAGAAUGGAAAGUUCAUGCUGUGACGGUACUUAACCAGAAAGGGACGGCUAACUACGUGCCAGCAGCCGCGGUAAUACGUAGGUCCCGAGCGUUGUCCGGAUUUAUUGGGCGUAAAGCGAGCGCAGGCGGUUAGAAAAGUCUGAAGUGAAAGGCAGUGGCUCAACCAUUGUAGGCUUUGGAAACUGUUUAACUUGAGUGCAGAAGGGGAGAGUGGAAUUCCAUGUGUAGCGGUGAAAUGCGUAGAUAUACGGAGGAACACCGGUGGCGAAAGCGGCUCUCUGGUCUGUAACUGACGCUGAGGCUCGAAAGCGUGGGGAGCGAACAGG